UUCAAAAUGAUGAAAACUAUACUCUGAAUUUUUAUUGUUGAAUUCAUUCUAAUACCUUCAAAGUUCUCUGAUUGUU